UGGGGAAUAUUGCACAAUGGGCGCAAGCCUGAUGCAGCCAUGCCGCGUGUGUGAAGAAGGCCUUCGGGUUGUAAAGCACUUUCAGCGGGGAGGAAGGCGUUAAGGUUAAUAACCUUGGCGAUUGACGUUACCCGCAGAAGAAGCACCGGCUAAAUCCGUGCCAGCAGCCGCGGUAAUACGGAGGGUGCAAGCGUUAAUCGGAAUUACUGGGCGUAAAGCGCACGCAGGCGGUCUGUCAAGUCGGAUGUGAAAUCCCCGGGCUCAACCUGGGAACUGCAUUCGAAACUGGCAGGCUAGAGUCUGGUAGAGGGGGGUAGAAUUCCAGGUGUAGCGGUGAAAUGCGUAGAGAUCUGGAGGAAUACCGGUGGCGAAGGCGGCCCCCUGGACAAAGACUGACGCUCAGGUGCGAAAGCGUGGGGAGCAAACAGG
rnacentral:rRNA from 1 species